UACGUAGGGUGCGAGCGUUAAUCGGAAUUACUGGGCGUAAAGCGUGCGCAGGCGGUUUUGUAAGCCAGAUGUGAAAUCCCCGGGCUUAACCUGGGAAUGGCAGUCGAGACUGUCUAGCUAGAGUAUGGGAGAGGGAAGUGGAAUUUCAGGUGUAGCGGUGAAAUGCGUAGAUAUCUGAAGGAACAUCAGUGGCGAAAGCGACUUCCUGGACCAAUACUGACGCUCAUGUGCGAAAGCGUGGGGAGCAAACAGG
rnacentral:rRNA from 1 species